rnacentral:rRNA from 1 species
CGGACGGGUGAGUAACGCGUGGGGGAACCCUGCCUUGCACCGGGGGAUAACACUUAGAAAUACGGUGCUAAUACCGCAUAAGCGCACAGAGCCGCAUGGGCUCAGUGUGAAAAACUCCGGUGGUGCAAGAUGGACCCGCGUCUGAUUAGCUGGUUGGCGGGGUAACGGCCCACCAAGGCGACGAUCAGUAGCCGGCCUGAGAGGGUGAACGGCCACAUUGGGACUGAGACACGGCCCAAACUCCUACGGGAGGCAGCAG